UCUGGCCUCGAGACUAGGUUCUGUGCGCGCUCCAGGCGCUAGGCCAGAGGAAAGGGAACUGUUUGUCGUACAUGUACAUCUGCUAACAUCAUACAGCGAGAUUGUGGAAGCUCUAAAUGCUGGAGAAUCCUGCGACGUUGUAUACUUGGACUUUGCAAAAGCGUUUGAUAAAGUGUCCUAUAAACAACUGUUAUUCAAACUAUGGAGGUUAGGCAUUACAGAUGACACUAAACUAGUGAAGUGAAUAGCCAAUGCAGAAGACCAAGCUGACCUGCAAUCUGAUCUAGACCAUCUUGUCACAUGGUGCAAGGACUGGAACUUAUCACUCAAUUUAGACAAAUGUGUCUACCUCCACUUUGGUAAAACCAUUCAUGACUCGCUAUACAAUUUGGACUCAAAGCUUUAACAAGAGACUCUCACAAAGACCUGGGAGUGACCAUCCAGAAUAGUCUCUCCUGGGACAAACAUAUCAACAACCUAUGUUCGAAGGCCUACAGCUGUUUGUAAGAAACACUCAAUGCUCUCAUGAUCUCCACACGAAAAGAACACUUUAUACUACGCUUGUUAGAUCUAAUUUAACAUUUUGUUCGCAACUGUGGAGACCACAGACACACAAGGCCAUCACAAAGUGGAACAAAUCCAGAGAAGAUCUUUAAAGUUUAUUCUGAACCUUACAUGUAUAUCUGAUAGUCUAGACUACAAAAGUCGCCUCAUUAAACUGGACCUUUUGCCACUAAUGAACUGGCUAGAGUUGCAAGAUGUCAUAUUCGCCGUCAGGUGUCUCCAAAAACCAGUAGAAAACUUCGACAUUACUGAGUUCAUAUCAUUCUCUACCAGCAGCACAAGACUAUCGUCUAAUCACAAGCUAGUUCAUAAAGGUCAUCAUCGCUCUAACACAACAAGACACUUUUACUUCAAAAGAUUGGUCAAACUCUGGAACGCCCUGCCCUCCCUUUUAUAGAUCUCUCUCACUCGAAACGCUUUGACCAAUCAAUAAUUUGCACUUAUCACCUAGUCUGUCCCUGUUCCUCUGUAUAACUGUAUAAUUAUGUAUGUAGAUCUAGUCAGGUGUUCCUUCUAGGAACUUCCUGUCAGUAUGUUUAAUUUCUGACGCACCACCACAAUCUAUUCACCUUGUGUAAAUGUAAAGUCAUACUGUAAAGCAUCGAUUAUUAUUAUUAUUAUUAUUA